ensembl:lncRNA
AUGAUCAAACGUGAUCAAACCUUAUGGAAUAAAUUGUUGACCCAUGAAGAGGUAAUGACUGUCAAGUGCAUAUUUUCCGGGAUUUGUGAUAUCACAAAGAUCGACGAAUGGGACGAGACCUGGUUGAGCUGCAAUAGAGAAGGCAACGAGUGUAAUCACUUUUCAAAAACUACAACGAACAGCUCGACAUUUCCUGACCAGGCGCCGAGUGCUGUCAAACACAACACACAUUGGCCCAGCUAACCAGUCACAACACAGACUGGCACAGGUAACCAUUCACAGCGCAUUUCUUAUGAAAGCGGGCCUUCAUUUAAUGCAGGAACUAUUCCAGCCAUUCACGCCAGACUGGGGAGAGAGGUGUUGUAAUAAUGUAAAAUAUAUGAAAAAUAUAUGUUUUUCGCACAACCUAGUAUGAGAGCCUGUUGUAAUCAAGACCUUGUAAAAGAGCAUAAUAGGACCCCUUUUAAGAAGAGAAUAUUGGAAGCAUCUCUUUCAAUAGCUUAGUCAAUGGAGGGUCUAACUUACAUGGUGUUGAUUUUAAUGAUCUAACAAAUUUAGACAGUUCUUCCCCUUCUAUAACAAAUAAUGAAUGGAAUGAGCGGCAACCUCCCACUCUCUCUCGUGAAGCCAACAAGGAAGUGACUAGAACUGUAAUUCAUCGACUGGCCGCUUGAGGCUGGCUGCAAAAGGGAGUCAAUCCCAUAGACUCCCCAACAUGUUUACAGCCUGGUUCAAAAAUGAUUUUGGUCUAAAUAGCUAAUUUUGCCCUUCAUGACAACUGUGAGGGGGUGAAUUUUUUUUUAUAACUCAUCUGUUUAAAUUAUAUUAAGCCUUAAAGUUCUGCAUAAUUAAGGGCGUGGCCACGUGAGUGACAGGUGGAUUGCCGCUGCUGACAAUGCCAUCGCCCUAGGUGGGCGUGGCUUCAGCAACCAGCUCCCGCCUUUUUGCUCAUUUUCGAUUAUUUGGGAGAGUUGCGCGUGGCACGCUGCCAAGAUGGCGACGGCCCACUCUGCACACUUUGAGCUUCAAAACUGCUCUUCAGGAGUCUAUGGGUGACGUCACGGACACUACGUCCAUAUUUUUAUACAGUCUAUGGAAUGGAAUUGUUUCUCAUGGAGUCUAUAGUGCAUUAUCUGAUGCAAAACUGUAGCAAAUGGUUGCAUGGUUAUAUUUUUCUCUCUGAUAGUAUCAAUCUUGCAAGUAUAGAAGUUCAUAAAAUCAAUGCUGCUGUGCUGUUGUGAAAUAUCUAAACUUGAAGUUCUAUUUCUCAUUAAUUUAGCUACUGUAUCAAAUAAGUAACUAGGGUUGUGUUUGUUUUCUUCUUAACUCUUUCCCCGCCUGCAUUUUUGAAAAAAAGUUGCCAACCACCAGCAGCAAUUUUUAUGAUUUUCAAAAUUUGAUGGCCUACAGUAUGUUUUGCUGCAUGAAUAUUUGAAUAUGCAAUACAUCAAAAUAAAGAUUAAAGCCUCUACUUUAAAAAAAAAACAAUCAGUUUUAUUCUAGCUUAAAGCAUUCAUUUUUUUAUCAACAUUUGAAUAUAGGUAGGUUUCAUAAAAAAAAUUAUAAUUUUGAGCAAAAAGGUGAGAAAAUCAAAUUUUUAUCAAAAACUACAUCCGUAUAAAAUUAAUCUGUAUACUCCAUAACAUUAUGCAGUUUUCAUUUAUAUGCUGUCUAUUGUUGAUGAUCGCAUUAUUUAUCAUAUGCAUCUGUUUGUUAGUUUUUCCAUCCUGUUCACAUGUGUUUUUUGUUUGGGAGGUUUUGUACUCGCUCAGAAGAUGUGUAAUAGCUCCCCCGAGUGUAUAACAGUGAAAACACGAAAAGCCGUAAAAACUCAGGGCACUUUCAUCAGGUUUUUCAGUUGAUGUCACUGACUGGGGAGAUCCUGUUUAAUGUUUUGAUUGGAACAGAAGAACAGCGUUUUGUCUCAUGACUAUGUUGCCUCACAGUCACCUAGUUUCCCUGCUAGAGGGUCUCUGCAACCAGAACCAAACGAUGCGUGGGAUCUGCUAAGCUAGUUGCAUGCAAAGCCCUAUCUAACUAGCCAAGUAUUUGAAUGUUGAGCAGAAAGCUCACUGGCUGCUGAUGUGGAAAAAAAAAAAAAAAACAUUAUGUCAGAUUGAGUUAGAACCUAUCUAUAGGUCUGCGCCAUCUAGAGUUUCAUGACAGAACUUUGGUUUCUCUUCAGGAACUCAAGCUGCGUCGUAGGAUGCUUUGGGAACGCCCUUCAGUGUGACCGGCUCUGAACCACGUGUGUAAUCAAUCCAAUGGAUGGGCGAGAUGUCACAGGCGGGUUGACGUAGUGACCAGGAAGCUUAAAAGCACAUGCGGUGAAACCAGCAUCAGCUUUCUGUCAUUCAGCAAGCGCUCUGUGUGUGUGUCAGUCAUUAUAUCUAUUUGUAUCUGUAUCCGGUGCCCGCUCUCAUGGUUUUGGAAGUCUGCACUGCAGUCCUUCCCCCCCUGUCUGACUCUGAGGAGAUUGAUAUGGAGAGUGUCGAUGAGCUCGCAAGUUGCACAAGCAUCAGUUACACAAGCAUAUUAUGCCUAAUAUUAUGAUAAGCAGCAUAAUUUUGGAAGGAGAGCUUGCGCAAUCAGCUCUUGGGGGCUGAUUGUGUUUUUCCCACUGUUAAGUGCUCUGCUCUCGCCGGACACGCUCUGAAGAGUGUGUCCGUGCCUGUGAUUUUGUGAUCCCGGUCCCGCUGCUGCUGAGGCAGGUGGCAAUUGAGAUUACGGGGAUCGCACAUGAUCUGGCGGAUGGGUUGGAGACGGCUCUUCCUAUCUCCACCCGUGUUCCCUAGAUCUAGAGCUCAUUCUCGAGGCUUGGAAGCCUGUGCUGUGGUUUCUUCCCCCUCUGAGUGAGAGCUCGCUGCUGCGGCCAUUUUCAUCUUUCUCAGCUUCCGGUCUCUCAGCCAAGGUUGUUGAGACCAUCCUCCAAUCCAGAGACCCCUCUACGAAGAACUGUACACCUUGAAAUGGAAACUUUUUAGUACUUCACCAGCUUAACCCAGUUAACUGCCCUGUUGAUACAGUCCUGGAGGUCCUGCAGGCCCUAUUCUCCGCUGGGUUAACCCACUCCACCCUGAAGGUCUACGUGGCGGCCAUUGCGGCUUACCACACCCCUCUCGGUGGCCAGUCAGUGGGCAGACACCCCCUAGUUACACGUUUCCUCCGUGGUGCUCUGAGGCUGAGGCCUCUGGUAUGAUCUUGUGUCCCCAUGUGGGACCUGGCUGUGGUGCUAGAAGCUCUCUGUAGGCCUCCCUUUGAGCUUAUCGAGGAGAUCUGAUUGCCACCUCACUAUCAAGACUACCUUUCUUCUGGCGAUAUCUUCUCUCAAGAGAGUUGGGGAUCUGCAAGCCCUAUCAGUAGCCCUUUCCUAUCUUGACUUUGCGCCCAGUCUGGCCAAAGCAUUUUUGUACCCUCUACACCAUGGCCUGUCGUACUCCAGGCCUUCAGUCCUCCUCCCUUCAGGGAGCCAGACCAGCAGAAGCUUAAUUGUAUGUGUCCAGUGUGAGCCAUUUCUAUUGCUCAUGAGUCCUCUGAUCUCCCUUCACCUCUAGGGGUCAAGGCUCAUUCUAAUAGAAAUGUGGUGGCCUCCAGGACCUUCUUGGCAGGUGUCUCGAUACAG